rnacentral:rRNA from 1 species
AACGAACGCUGGCGGCAGGCUUAACACAUGCAAGUCGAGCGCCCCGCAAGGGGAGCGGCAGACGGGUGAGUAACGCGUGGGAAUCUACCCAUCUCUACGGAAUAACGCAUGGAAACGUGUGCUAAUACCGUAUACGUCCUUCGGGAGAAAGAUUUAUCGGAGAUGGAUGAACCCGCGUUGGAUUAGCUAGUUGGUGGGGUAAAGGCCUACCAAGGCGACGAUCCAUAGCUGGUCUGAGAGGAUGAUCAGCCACACUGGGACUGAGACACGGCCCAGACUCCUACGGGAGGCAGCAGUGGGGAAUAUUGGACAAUGGGCGCAAGCCUGAUCCAGCCAUGCCGCGUGAGUGAUGAAGGCCCUAGGGUUGUAAAGCUCUCUCACCGGUGAAGAUAAUGACGGUAACCGGAGAAGAAGCCCCGGCUAACUUCGUGCCAGCAGCCGCGGUAACAC